rnacentral:rRNA from 1 species
CAGCCGCCGCGGUAAUACGAAGGGGGCUAGCGUUGCUCGGAAUGACUGGGCGUAAAGGGCGCGUAGGCGGUUCGUACAAUCAGGGGUGAAAUCCCAGAGCUCAACCUCGGAACUGCCUCUGAUACUGGGGAUCUUGAGUCCGGAAGAGGUGAGUGGAACUGCGAGUGUAGAGGUGAAAUUCGUAGAUAUUCGCAAGAACACCGGUGGCGAAGGCGGCUCACUGGUCCGGAACUGACGCUGAGGCACGACAGCGUGGGGAGCAAACAGGAUUAGAUACCCCUGUAGUCCCUGUCUCUUAUAC